rnacentral:rRNA from 1 species
UACGUAGGUGGCGAGCGUUGUCCGGAAUUAUUGGGCGUAAAGAGCGCGUAGGCGGGAAAAGAAGUCCACUUUAAAAGUGCGGGGCUCAGCCCCGUGAGGGGGUGGAAACUCUUUUUCUUGAGUGCCGGAGAGGAAAGCGGAAUUCCCAGUGUAGCGGUGAAAUGCGUAGAUAUUGGGAGGAACACCAGUGGCGAAGGCGGCUUUCUGGACGGUGUCUGACGCUGAGGCGCGAAAGCCAGGGGAGCGAACGGG